GGAUAAUUUAUCUCCGUGUUGUAGCUAACGCGUUAAGCACUCCGCCUGGGGACUACGGUCGCAAGACUAAAACUCAAAGGAAUUGACGGGGACCCGCACAAGCGGUGGAGCAUGUGGUUUAAUUCGAUGCAACGCGAAAAACCUUACCACUCCUUGACAUGGAGAUUAGAUCCUUCUUAACAGAAGGGCGCAGUUCGGCUGGAUCUCGCACAGGUGCUGCAUGGCUGUCGUCAGCUCGUGUCGUGAGAUGUUGGGUUAAGUCCCGCAACGAGCGUAACCCUCAUCCUUAGUUGCCAGCGGGUAAGCCGGGCACUUUAAGGAAACUGCCGGUGGUAAACCGGAGGAAGGUGGGGAUGAUGUCAAGUCAGCACGGCCCUUAUGGGGUGGGCUACACACGUGCUACAAUGGUGACUACAAUAGGUUGCAAUGUCGCAAGGCUGAGCUAAUCCGUAAAAGUCAUCUCAGUUCGGAUUGUCCUCUGCAACUCGAGGGCAUGAAGUCGGAAUCGCUAGUAAUCGUGGAUCAGCAUGCCACGGUGAAUACGUUCUCGGGUCUUGUACACACUGCCCGUCACGCCAUGGGAAUUGGCUUAACUCGAAGCUGGUGCGCUAACCGAAA
rnacentral:rRNA from 1 species